rnacentral:tRNA from 1 species
CACCGCGUAGUGUAGUGGCUAGCACGCUCGACUAACAAUCGAGAGGGCCCGGGUUCGAGUCCCGGGAAGCGGCGA